rnacentral:rRNA from 1 species
CGGGGUGCAGCAGGCGCGAAAACUUUACAAUGCCGGCAACGGCGAUAGGGGAACCUCGAGUGCCAGGUUACAAAUCUGGCUGUCGUGAUGCCUAAAAAGCAUUGCAUAGCAAGGGCCGGGCAAGACCGGUGCCAGCCGCCGCGGUAACACCGGCGGCUCGAGUGGUAACCGUUAUUAUUGGGUCUAAAGGGUCUGUAGCCGGCCGGGUAAGUCUCUUGGGAAAUCUGGCAGCUUAACUGUCAGGCUUUCAGGAGAUACUGCCUGGCUCGAGGCCGGGAGAGGUGAGAGGUACUUCAGGGGUAGGGGUGAAAUCUUGUAAUCCUUGAAGGACCACCAGUGGCGAAGGCGUCUCACCAGAACGGACCUGACGGCAAGGGACGAAAGCUAGGGGCACGAACCGGAUUAGAUACCCGGGUAGUCCUAGCCGUAAACGAUACUCGCUAGGUGUCGGCCACGGUGCGACCGUGGUCGGUGCCGUAGGGAAGCCGUGAAGCGAGCCACCUGGGAAGUACGGCCGCAAGGCUGAAGCUUAAAGGAAUUGGCGGGGGAGCAC